AUAUUGGAUAUCUAAAUAGAGAUAUCAAGAAAUGAAGAUAUGCAUUUCCAGUUCCAGAGAGAAAUUCACACUGGAAAUAUAAAUUUAGGAAUUUUAAAGUUAGUGGUCACAUUUAAAGCUGCAGAAUACAAAGAGAUCACCUGUGUGAGAGAACUGAGUCCUGAAACAUACCCGUGUUUAAAGAUCUGGGAGGUGCAGAGGAAUUAUCAAAGGAGGCUGAGAAGGAGCAGCCAGUGAGGUGUGUAGAAAAACAAGGUUGGUAUUAUGAAGGUGAAGUAAAGAAGUUGUUUCAAGUAAUAACGUGUGAAUAACGUGUGUGUAAAAUAAGCAAAAAGAAAAGCAAGAGAUAUGGAACUGAACUUCCCUUUGGCAAAAAAUUUAGAAAAUGAUAAUGAGGUGAGGAGAGACCUUAACACAGAAAAUUAUAUACUCUGGGGUUACUGAAACACAAUUUACUACCACGAUAUUAUACUAUAUAAGAGAAGAACUGAUGUGGAACUAUAUGGAUA
rnacentral:lncRNA from 10 species